CACUUAGUAAGCCCUAAAAAUUCUUAAAAAUGUGAUAUUUUGAAAUAACACACAAAAUAUGUGUUAAAAAUAAAAACUUUAUAAACACUGUCGAGGAGCGCCACUUGCAUUACUUGUGAUCAGUUGUGUCUUAGUCUUGAUAGUUUUAGGUUGUAUUGCACUGUUUUUAUUAGCACUAAAUGUAAUUUAUAACUGUAUUUUUAUCAUUCAAAAGUGUCGAGGAGUUUACCCACAAAAAAAAUUUUUUUACUACCGAUGAAAAAUAUUUAGUUCUCAUUAUGAAUUAUUUCGUGUUACAUAAAAAUUAUUUUUUUGUUAAAUAAAAAUGUGUUUUUUAAAAAAAGUUAAAUAGUUAUUGUUUAUAACUAAUAUAAAAUACCAGGUGGUUAGCUUUUAAUUUUUUAUGCUUACAACAAUAUAUUAUUGCAAAUAAAAAAAUAAAUAGUUUAAUCCGGAAUAAAAGAUUUUAUAACCUCGAAAUGAGAAAUGAAUUAUAUUUAAUGCACAUUAAAGGAAAAUAAUUAAAUUUUGACUCGGGAAGCAACUGAAUAUUUUUUAAACUUCUCGCUAAGAAAAUCGAUGAUUUUCGAAAAACUCGGGAAGUUAAUGUUUUCACCCCGAUUUUCGAAAAUCGAGUUUUCAUCAGAUGUCGACAUUAUGAGGUCCUAGGAAGCUAUCCUGACUAUUAUCAGAAUGAUGUCCGAGUGUCUGUAUAAAAAUCAAUUAAUAGUCACUGGGAAAGAUUUAAUUACGCAGCCAGAACCUUCCGUGGUGCUGGUUGGGUAAAUUCGAGUUUCUGACCAAUUUUACUACCAUAAGCCUGGGAAGGUCUCCAAAUCGGCAGCUGAUAUCAAAAUGUUUGACAUCCUGACCAGGCACCGACUGGAUCUUCCAGGCAAGGCCCGCUUAUUAUCGAGGUGGCUAACAUGGUCCGGCUUUACUAUGUCACCGUAGCAUUUCAAAUCGAAAAUAAUUUCUCCAUACGAUUGGUUCGAAUAACUUUUGCUUAGGUUAAGAGAUUUUUUCAAAAUGUGUAUUAAGGUUAAAGCGAAACUAGUGACUCGAGUCAAAGUAAUGUGUUACUUUUUUUGUUAGCUAAAUUCUUUUAAUAGUUAUAAAAAUUCAUUAUUUCAAUUUACAAUAAUAUGACGAAUUUAUAAAUUAAUAAUAAUUACUUGUUUAAUGAAAGAAAGUAAUGAAAUGACUUCGUUAUUUUUUACUCAUAUGGUUUUAUAAAAAGAUGUGGCAACAGAGCGUUUUGACUUCUUGAACAUCGAUAUUCAAAUUAAAGCGGGAAAAAUUUAUUUCUAAUCUCCCCUCUCUUUUUAAUGUAUUUCUAUCUUUGUUUUUUCUCUCAGCUACUUCCGCGACGUUGCCAAACUCAAUAAUAUGUAUCUCUGUCGAUGAUCAAGAUUGAAAAAUAAAGUUUAACUUCAAUUAUUUAAAUAACUACAAUGGUAACACUAUAUUGUUAAAAUCUUAUCACAUUCUAAAAAUAUUUAAGUUUAUACAUGUGGUUUUUUAUUUCUUAAACUUGUGAGGUAAAUAAUGAAAAAAUCGAAUCAGUCAUGAAGGAAGCUUAACCACCAUAAGAGUCUGUGUAUAAGAACCUUAAAAACGUUAUUUUUAAAUCUUUUUUUCUAAGAAACUAGAUGGUGGAUCAUAUUCAAAUUUUGAGAAUACAUCGAUAAAGUACUUAUUUAUAUAUAUACUAAGUUUCAAAUCUUAUAGCUGGAAAAAUCCUUUUUUCAUUAAAUUCGCUCGAACCUCCUUAGACUAAUUCAAUAACGAGUUCAUCCGUGUCAUAAUAAAUUAACUGACAUUAGUUCCUGUCAAAAAUAUAAGCUAAAAAAUAAAUAUUUUAUUUUGUGUAUCCAGAACUGGUUAAACAAUAGAUAUUAUUACCCCUCCCCCCCCGCCGACUCCCGUUUGUAACCAAUAUAUACUUACAUAAGCAAAGAUUGGUUAAUAUGAAAGGUAUAAUAGAAAAGAAGGGGUAUCCGUGAACAGUGCAUCGUCCACGUCAAGAGAAAGUUUCUUAAUGACCGUGUAAUAGAUGAACAAAUGUGUCUGUUUUUAAUAUCAUAUAACAUUAUUUAAAUAAAUACAGUUGUCCAGUUUAAAAAAUAAUUUACUUUAGACCCUACUAA